AGAGUUUGAUCCUGGCUCAGGAUGAACGCUAGCGGCAGGCCUAACACAUGCAAGUCGAGGGGUAUAGUUCUUCGGAACUAGAGACCGGCGCACGGGUGCGUAACGCGUAUGCAAUCUACCUUAUACAGGGGAAUAGCCCAGAGAAAUUUGGAUUAAUGCCCCAUAGUGUUAUAGAAUCGCAUGGUUUUGUAACUAAAGUUCCAACGGUAUAAGAUGAGCAUGCGUCCCAUUAGUUAGUUGGUGAGGUAACGGCUUACCAAGACAAUGAUGGGUAGGGGUCCUGAGAGGGAGAUCCCCCACACUGGUACUGAGACACGGACCAGACUCCUACGGGAGGCAGCAGUGAGGAAUAUUGGUCAAUGGGCGCAAGCCUGAACCAGCCAUGCCGCGUGCAGGAAGACGGUCCUAUGGAUUGUAAACUGCUUUUAUACAGGAAGAAACCUCCCUACGUGUAGGGACUUGACGGUACUGUAGGAAUAAGGAUCGGCUAACUCCGUGCCAGCAGCCGCGGUAAUACGGAGGAUCCAAGCGUUAUCCGGAAUCAUUGGGUUUAAAGGGUCCGUAGGCGGUCUUAUAAGUCAGUGGUGAAAGCCCAUCGCUCAACGAUGGAACUGCCAUUGAUACUGUAAGACUUGAAUUUUUGUGAAGUAACUAGAAUAUGUAGUGUAGCGGUGAAAUGCUUAGAUAUUACAUGGAAUACCAAUUGCGAAGGCAGGUUACUAACAAUUGAUUGACGCUGAUGGACGAAAGCGUGGGGAGCGAACAGGAUUAGAUACCCUGGUAGUCCACGCCGUAAACGA
rnacentral:rRNA from 1 species